AUACUUACCUGGCAGGGGCGAUUCCAUGAUCAUGAAGGUGGUUUUUCCAGGGUGAGGCUCAUCCAUUUGAACUCCAGAUGUGCUGACACCUGUGAUUUCCCCAAAUGCAGGAAACCAUACUGCAUUAAUUUGUGGUAGUGGGGAACUGCGUGUACUCGCUUUCCCUU
ensembl:snRNA U1 U1 spliceosomal RNA